rnacentral:rRNA from 1 species
CACGUAGGAGGCGAGCGUUGUCCGGAAUCAUUGGGCGUAAAGAGCGCGCAGGCGGUCGUUCAAGUCGCGUGUGAAAGCCCCCGGCUCAACUGGGGAGGGUCACGCGAUACUGAUCGACUCGAAGGCAGGAGAGGGUAGUGGAAUUCCCGGUGUAGUGGUGAAAUGCGUAGAUAUCGGGAGGAACACCAGUGGCGAAGGCGACUACCUGGCCUGUUCUUGACGCUGAGGCGCGAAAGCUAGGGGAGCAAACGGG